GGGCCAUGCCCCAAUCAGGCCCAGCUGGCCCCUAUAAGAGGCUGGGAGCCAGAAGCCUAAUACAACCUGUUUUCUGUUCCCAGAGGAUCAGAAAAUUUCAUGUUGCAGUGGACAAAUGCAUUAAUUCUAGGGGGAGGUCCUGUUUCAUAACAGACACUACAAACAAAAAAGACAUCCAACAAAGCAGUGUUAUGUCUAUCCAGUAUGACCAUAAUGGGUUUUUCAACAAUCUUUUAUAAAAUGUGCACAACAGAAUUGGACAUAUUAUUAUAGUCUCAUGGCCUCAUCAAUGUUGUAUAGACAGAGUCAUUGCUUUCCAGGAUACAUUAAGUACCACCUAUCUUCUUUCUGCUAGAUGUCUGAUCUACAAGCAUUUCCUGACAGUCCUGAACAAUUUAUCUAGAGAUAAGAGAAAAGGAUACAUAGUAUGUUCUCAUGGACUAAACAUAAGACUGGACAAGAACUAUAGACAGUAGGAACCAUGGAAGUGAAGGAUGCAUACCACUUAUGAAUUCCUCCAGAACUGUUUCAAGCAGUGGAAAUCCUGAUGAAUCUGGGCUGCCGAUGCCUAAAAACUGAUCUGAAUAUUUCUCUCUGUGAGGAGUUUCUACGUUUGUGGAUAAGUCUGAUUAGAUUUGAACUGGACUGUCUGCCUCCACAGAAGCAGAAACACGUAUGGAGGGGAGAAAUGUCACAUGUUAGGUUAGGAAUCAAUAUUUUAUUUCUUAUAUCACAAUGUAACUGAUUAAACUGAAAAUUGUUAGCGACAGAACUUUAAUGAACACAAAAUAAUGUGAGAUUCACAAUCAAACAUGGUGAUCUGUUGGUGAGACCUGGCUGCUAUGCACAAAUCCAAAACUUCAGCAAUAUCGGCAAAGACCUUCUGUUAAGCACUAGCUUUAAAGCCAAAGACAGCAUUGUUUUUAUUAAUUGUGUCUUUCUCAGCAAAAACGUCCAAUAACAAAUUAUCAAGUGCAGCCUCACCAUGUGGCCCUGCUUCCCUACUUCUCCACUAUAGAUUAAGAAUACUUGUAAAAAUGCAUUUCUGUCUCAUUCUUGGAAGUCUGGUCUAAUUUUGCUGAAGGGCGAUGCUAAGGCAACUCUAUUACUAUGGUCCAUUAAUGACCUGCCAGAUUUCUGAUUUUACUGUACUGCAUGCUGAAUCUUAAUGUUGAUAUUCUCAUGCAAACACUAUACCAGAUAAGUGCAUUCUACAGCUCAGUCUGAUCACAUUUUUAUUCCCAGUUUCUAGUAGAAAACAUUUUAUCCAUUGAUCCCGCCUCUUACUACUUUGAUCUUAGAUGUCAGAUCAAAGUAUUAUAUAUGCAAUUAAAAAAUCAACUCUUACCAACAAUUACCACAAACCAAUAGCCAAGCAGUUACAUCCUACUGUACAGAUAAGUAUAGAGAAACACAGUAUCUUAAUAUAGUAGCUGCUGGCAAAUACUGAUUCUUUCCACUGUAUGACUGCAAUCCCACUAUAUUGCUUAAAAAAAAAAUUAUAGAAAAGCCUAGAAACAGUUGAUUAGAUAGAUCUAUAGAAAGAAAGUUGUCACUAUAAUAGUUAUUUAGUUCCAUAUGCUCUCUCAUAUAUAACCAAUUACAUAAGGUUAAAAAAAAUCACAGUUGGCUAUAUAAUGCUUUGGUAGAAUGAAAUUGAUUGUCUCUACAUAGUUAAUUUGCAUAAUGUGCACAAAUAUACUAAUCCUCCUAAGCAUUCACUUGGCUGGCAAAUUUCAGUGUCCGGAGCACAGAAGCAAGUAUG